rnacentral:rRNA from 1 species
UCGAGGAUCUUCCGCAAUGGGCGCAAGCCUGACGGAGCGACGCCGCGUGUGGGAUGAAGGCCUUCGGGUUGUAAACCACUGUCACUCGUUAAGAAAGGGUCCGGUGUUAACAGCAUCGGAAACUGACAAAGGCGAGAGAGGAAGCCACGGCUAACUUCGUGCCAGCAGCCGCGGUAAGACGAAGGUGGCGAGCGUUGUUCGGAAUCACUGGGCAUAAAGCGCACGUAGGCGGCGACGUAAGUUGGGUGUGAAAUCCCUCGGCCCAACCGAGGAACUGCGCCCAGUACUGCGUUGCUUGAGGAUCCAAGGGGUGCAUGGAAUUCCCGGUGGAGCGGUGAAAUGCGUUGAUAUCGGGAGGAACUCCGGCGGCGAAAGCGGUGCACUGGUGGAUUUCUGACGCUGAGGUGCGAAAGCCAGGGGAGCAAACG